rnacentral:rRNA from 1 species
GACGAACGCUGGCGGCGUGCCUAAUACAUGCAAGUCGAACGCAGUGGGGACGGGUGAGUAACCAGUGUGUAACCUGCCAUCCGAGGGGAUAACACUUUGAAACAGGUGCUAAACCGAUACUGAUGGAUGGACACGCGGUGGAUCAGCUAGGUGGGGAGGUAACGGCGCACCAAGGCCACGAUGCAUAGCCGACCGGAGAGGGUGAUCGGCCACACUGGGACUUAGACGCGGCCCAGACUCCUACGGGAGGCAGCAGUAGGGAAUCUUCGGCAAUGGACGAAAGUCUGACCGAGCAACGCCGCGUGAGUGAAGAAGGUUUUCGGAUCGUAAAACUCUGUUGUUAGAGAAGCGGUAUCUAACCAGAAAGCCACGGCUAACUACGUGCCAGCAGCCGCGGUAAUUC